AAAAUUUGUUAUUAAUUUGAUUUAUAUGUAAAUUUUUGUGUGAAAUUUUAAUAAUUUUAAUAAUUAUUAAAUUAUAAAUGAAUAUUCGCAGUAAUUAGUAUUAUUGAUUAAAGAAAUUUAGAAAUAGUAAUAUUAAAAAGUAUUGAUUAAAUUGGUGCCAGCAAUCGCGGUUAUACCAAUAAUACAAAUGAAUUUUAUUAGUAAAAGUUAAAUUGUUAAAAAUUUAUAAAAAAAUUAAAUUUAUUAAGUGAAAUUUUAAAUUUAAAAUAUUAUAUAAUAUAAUAAUUGAAGCUAAAAAAUUUUAAAAAA
rnacentral:rRNA from 1 species